rnacentral:rRNA from 1 species
UACGAAGGGGCUAGCGUUGCUCGGAAUCACUGGGCGUAAAGGGUGCGUAGGCGGGUCUUUAAGUCAGGGGUGAAAUCCUGGAGCUCAACCUCCAGAACUGCCUUUGAUAACUGAGGAUCUUGAGUUCGGGAGAGGUGGAGUGGAACUGCGAGUGUAGAGGUGAAAAUUCGUAGAUAUUCGCAAGAACGACCAGUGGCGGAAGGGCGGAGCUCGACCUGGCCCCGUAGUAC